UAUGGCAGAUUAUAUGUAAUGG
rnacentral:tRNA from 2 species